UACGGAGGGUGCAAGCGUUGUUCGGAAUUACUGGGCGUAAAGAGCUUGUAGGCGGCUUGCUAAGUCCGAUGUGAAAGCCCUCGGCUCAACCGGGGAAGUGCAUUGGAUACUGGCGAACUUGAGUAUGGGAGAGGAGAGCGGAAUUCCCGGUGUAGAGGUGAAAUUCGUAGAUAUCGGGAGGAACACCAGUGGCGAAGGCGGCUCUCUGGACCAAUACUGACGCUGAGAAGCGAAAGCGUGGGGAGCAAAC
rnacentral:rRNA from 1 species